rnacentral:rRNA from 1 species
GCGCAGCAGGCGCGAAAACUUUACAAUGCGGGAAACCGUGAUAAGGGAACUCCGAGUGCCCGUAAAAUCGGGCUGUCCAUCUGUUUAAAUAACAGGUGAAGAAAGGGCCGGGCAAGACCGGUGCCAGCCGCCGCGGUAAUACCGGCGGCUCGAGUGGUGGCCACUAUUACUGGGCUUAAAGCGUUCGUAGCUGGUCUGUUAAGUCUCUGGGGAAAUCUACUGGCUUAACCAAUAGACGUUUCAGGGAUACUGGCAGACUAGGGACCGGGAGAGGUGAGAGGUACUCCAGGGGUAGGA